AUCGCGAGUGAUGUAUUUGCAAUGAAAGUGGACAUUUCUAAAGUUGCUUUUCCGCACAGAGGACAAUAAGCAAGCAUAACUCAACGUUGAUGUGAACUGUUGAGAAUUCUGGCUCUGUCUCUACACGCUGUGUGAUUGCGCUGUCGACUCGACCACUGCUGCCACCAUGCGGCUCUCAAGUUGUGAGGUUGCGAGCUUCGAAUGAGAUGGAAUGUUGCCGUCAUGGAUAGUGGGUAAGUAG